AGAAAGUCCUCCCGCGGGUGAUGUUCAGCAGAUAUUGGCGAGAAACGGAAGAGUGUAGCCCGGGUCGCCUCGGCGGGAGCGUGGUGCACGUGGAGAGGAGGAGACAUGGUGGUCGUCAGGCCGGAAGAGGCGGAGACACGGUGGUCGUCACGCCGGAAGAGGCGGAGACAGUGGUCGUCACGCCGGAAGAGGUGGAGACACAGGCGUCGUUUUGCUGGAGGAGGCGGAGACACGCCGCCGGAAGAGGCCGGUGGCCGGGUGUUCGGGUUCUGAAGUCCAAGGAAGGAGCUUGGGUUGUAUUUACCAGCGAGAAGGUGGUUUGCGGACUUUCCAAACGCAGCAUUAUAACGUCUGUUCACGUUAAAGACCCACCACCCGGCUGCUGCAGGAAGUGAGCAGGAGGGACCGCGCUCUCGGACGUCUUGGUGAACGUGGGGGCAGCCGCCAGCCUCUCAGGAAGAGCUUUCCCACCUCCUGCGAGCGCAUGAAGUCCCUCUGGGGCUCAGGACGCACCCAGAGGCUCUCCCCGCACACCUCGGUGCCCAGGCCUCCUGGGAGGGACCCACGGCAGACCGUGGUGCCCCGCGGCCUCCAGCCAGGCCGAGGCUCUGAGCUCAGAGGCCCGGUGAGUCCAUGAUGUCUGCUCACAUCAUGAAGAAAAGGUACAAGUGUUUAUUUUGCUUGGGGAUAUUUAUUAAUACUAUAUACCUAGUAAGUAAAGUCUUAAAAAUAUCUUUCCUUGGACAUUUAACAUUCCUUCAAUUCCUGAAGCCCUUCAAGUUACUAUUAGAAAUUUCUCUUUGGUAACUUCAAACCUCGUGAACAGGGGCAGCUCACUUGGCUUGUAGGAUCACAGGCUCUCGCUCACUCUCGGGGACCUGCUGCUACACUGAGCUCCCCCUCGCUUCACGGGGCAGUGAAGACACACCUACUUCCUGCCCUCCUGGAGUGUGCCUCAUGCUGGGAAGCCAGGUCACCCACAGGGACACAGAUAAAUAAUGGCAGGAGCGGAUCGUAGUGCAAAGAAAAAUAUGAAUUUUACUUAAUGCUCUCUGUGUCUGGGCAUUCAGCACCCUGUCAGAGAGGGACUUUCGUGACCACCCUCGUGGUGCGGUGAGAACGCUGAGGCACAAGUACACUAAAAAGAUUGUCCAGAGACACACGGCUGGCAAACGGAAAAGCCAGGGUGUGGCCCACGUGGUGAGUCUCUGAGGUCGUCGUGAGAAAUUGCCCUGAAAAUCCGUGGAUUCACGUCCAGGUAGGGAUGUCUUUGGUUGUGAAAUAUCCUAAAUGUCCAGUGGCCUGAAGGGAUAGGGUCUGCUUUUCUGACUCAACAAGAAGCCAGCGGUCCAGGCCCCGGCAUCUCCCCGUCCUUCCACGGAGCCGUCCCUACCAACUUGGGCUUCGCCACAUUACCUGUUCCACAUUUACAGAAUGGCUGCCUUUCAAGGCAGUAACCCUCUUUCCAGGUGGGGCAGAAGAGAGUUGGCGAAGGCCACCUCCAGGAAGGGCCGUCUUUUCCUGCAAGAAGAAUGCUUUCCGGCAUCGUCCCCACCCACUAACUGGGACUGCACCCAAGUCACCCUCGGAAAGGCCGAGGGAAUGAGCUUGCGGCAUGUCUUUUGGUCAGCUCUCUUCAGCCCGAGUUCAGGGGAGCGCAGGGCCUCCUCUCACCAGAAGGAAACACCGGGCUCUCCGAAGCAGUGUGAGCACGUGCACCUGUCGUGGGGGAGGUGACUCGGGGCUGGGCAAGUAUGGGGGGGUGGCGCUUGCAUUUUGUCAACAAUGGUGCCUUCAGCAGCUUCCUUUCCCUGGACACAAAGGGCCUCGUAUGUACAUUAGCUCUGCUCUUUCAAACCUUGAUGAGUCCUUCUUUUGGGCCACACCAUUGGGCUCUUUUCCUUGGACCCUUUCCAGCUAUAUCCCACUUUCUCGUGCUGCUUUUCUUGUGUUCUUCUGCUGAUGAAGCUCGUGGCUGGCUCCCAGCCUGUGUGCUUGCGUCUGCGCCAAGAGUGGAAUCCGUAGCUGCCGAGGAGCCCUUUCCCACUGGCAGAUGAGGUCUGGGGGCAGGGACGUUCAAGGAAGUGGAGACAAGGAGAGCAGGUGCGGCAGCUGUGGGGCCUCUUAAAGGUGAGCUAGAAAACACUUCCUUCUAGAGGCUCCGGAUUCGCACGGAAACGUUCCCUAAUUUACUGUAUUAUGUUUCACACACAAAUUUCCUAAAAUACGUGGUUUUAACUACAACUGUGAUUUAUGACUCCAUUUGUUAAUAAUUAACAAGCCAUAAGUGGUUACCAACUGGAAAAAAAAAUCUUAGAAAUAAUGUAGUAGAGUUUUCCUUCCUUAAGUGACAAAACGCCAGCAUUUCAUAGCAGUUAAACUUCUGGUUAGUGAUGACUAACUAGUGAGUACGUGUCCUUACGUCUCUUGUGAUUUCAGUGUCUGAAACUGAUGCCGCAUUUACCUUGUGAAGAAACGUCUCAGACUUAAACAGAAAGCGCCCAUACACUUGUGGCCUUUUAUUUACUUAUUAUUUAAUGAUCACACAAAGGAAUACAGGGGUCAAUGGAAAUAGUGAAGAACCCUAGACCCAGGACACUAGGGUCCAGUGCCGCCCUUCUGCAGAUCCGCGUAUGCCCUUUCCUUACAACUUUCUGUAUUUCCUAAAUGCAUCCUGGGUGCUGGUUCCUUUCCAGACCCCGAGACAUGGAGGUGUGGAGCACAGGACCUCAGCCUGGAGGAAAACUAGAUCAGUACUUGAGUACAUACAUGGAAGUUGCACUGUUUGUGUGCGUACACGUGUAUGCAUAUGUGUGAGCCUGUUCUGUGUAGAGUUACGGAUAUGUGCACGUGCGCAUACACGGAACACGGACAUAACCAACAAGAGAUCAAGCUUCAUAAGCUGAAGGAGUAUCCAGUGACCCCGUCCCGUCACAAAACCGUAAACGCCGGGCAGAAAUUCAGCCCUUUGCGUGUUGCUGGCCUUGGUCACCCACUGACCCCGUGCAUCGUGCCUCAGCCUCGUUCCCACGGCAGCUCUGCCUCGCCGGGCUUCCCCCACCCUUCUUGGGGUGCAGACCCCACCCCCUCGCCUGCCGGCGUCUCAGACGCUCCGUCGCAGACGCGCCAGCGCCACCGUGGUUGUGCGUGUGUGGAGUCACGGACCCUGAGAACAUUUACGCUUUUGGAAAAGCGAAAGCAGCGUGGCUGCCCGGUUCGUACUGUGCCGGAUUAAGGGGGAGAAGAGCGUCUCCGCCGAGAACGACGUUCACAAGGAGCCUCUCGAUGUGGCGGAAGUGAAGCGCGGAGCUUCGUGCCGCGUGCAGACAGUGAGCACAGGGAGGCGCUGGACGGCUGGCAGCUGUCACCCCUUCGGGCUCCUCCCGCUGCUGCGGCCCAGCCCCCGCCCCGGGUAUCACGGCAACGUUUCGGUGGGCGUGUGGGCAGGCCCGGCCGGUGGCUGGUUUGAGGCCCGUGUUCGGGAGACUCGUGGGCCCUCUCGAAACUACCCAGAAAAUUCCAACAAGAGGGAGGGAAAGAGAGGAGCUUGUGCGUUAGGAAGGGCGAAAGGGAUGAGAGCCAGGGUCUUUCACGCGAAACUUCCGUUGUCAAAAGCGAGUAAGCGUCCUGGGCGAAAUGUGGGUUCUCAUAAGGCCCCGCUGAGUGUCAGACUGGGAGCAGACACGCCGUGCGAUUCGUGCAGAUGUUCGCACGUGACACAGGACAGCAUUUCUGCAGCCACGUGUGGGGAUUUCUCUGAGGGGAAGCAGAGGUGAGGCGGGGCCCGCUGCCUGCCCAGCUCUCCAGCCUGCCCGGGCCGAGCUUCUGAAGCUGCGGCCUUGGGGUCCUUAGACCUCAGGGUGUCUGAGCUGCGUGGGUGCAGCUGUGGGUCCCCUGGGCCCCUGAUUUCCAGCCUUCUCUAGAAUUUUCACUUGCAUCUGGCGUCUCACUGCCAUGAGUAUGUCAUCACCGCAUCGAUUUGCGAUUGAUUUAUUUUCACAUCCGCGAUAUUUCAUCAGUUUAGCUGAUUGCAUGUUAAAGCUUCCCCCUCCCCCUUCCCCGCUUCCGGUCGACACUGACUCCUGAAUCUGUAGCCGAUGCUGAGCCCUUCGAGACCCCUGCCGUCUUGCACGCCCAGGGAAUGUGCGACAGGUGCCCGGGGAGCCGAGCGCCAGCCGCCUCAGGAAGCAGAGGGAAGAGUCUGAGCUCCAUUCUUGUAGACGUGACUGAUUCAGGGUGCCGCGGCCUUGCAGUGACACCGCUCAGACCCAGGGCCCGUGUGCUGGGCUCCCGUCUCACUGCCCCUGAACCAGCAGAGGUGCCCGCGGGGCCCCCACCUUCCUGUCGGUUCCGUGGGGGAGCCCGCCUUCAGCGUGUAGAACGAGGUCCAGACAUGCAGACCCGCGUGCCCACGGUGAUAGCAGGUCAGCCCCUGACCCCUUCUGGGGGUCCGUGGAUCUCGGUAGACCCCGCUCUGAGAUGGGUUAGGCUGCACCUGACCGCAGUUGUGCACACACAGCCUGAGACGCCCCUCCCGCUUGGGGCGGCUGAGUGCAGAGUGGGAGCAGAAUUUCUCGCCACACUCGCCUCCCCCCGGUUCUUUCACCAAACCCCAGUCUACUUCCCGUGUCCAGAGAGCUGGCCCUAUGGGGGAGGAGGCCCCGGGGCCAAUCCUGGACCGAGUUAGGGGUGGAGAGAGUCGGAUGAAGAGCUUUUCCGUGCCUCCUCUUGUUUACUGGAAACAAACCGAUGAAUGGCAUGAUUUUAAAGCUGCCGAAAUAAACAGAACUUGAAACAGAUAAUAGAAGUGGACUCAUCCUCUGGGUGAGAAAUGCUGAAGCUCUGUGGGAUCCUGUCACACCCUGCGGGGGCCUUGUCGCACCCUGCGGGGGCCUUGUCGCACCCUGCGGGACCCUGUUGCACCCUAAGGGACCCUUUCAAACUCUGGGGGCCCUGUCGCACCCCGUGGGACCCUGUCACACCCUGAGGGCCCUGUCGCA